GAACAAAGCCGACCUCCUCGCCCCGCCCCCUCCGUCCCGCCCGGGCUGCUCGCCCCGCCCCCGCGCGGCGCUGGGAGGCGGGAGCUGUCUCUGAGAACCUGCGGGAGAGCGCCCGGGCUUGCUGCUUCCCGGACCCGCGCGUCUCUCGAGCACCCUCGUCCCACCACCUUGUGAGGCCGUAGUGUUAUUUUUAUUUUUUAGAUCAGCAGACUGAGACUCGAGGUGACGUCACUCCGCAGAGAGGUUAGAGCACAGCAGACUGAGCCACCCAGAACUGGCCCCUCCGGUGGACCAGCCCCUGCGGAUUCACAGACCACUGGUCCUGGAAGGGACCUUGUCAAGCAGGCCCAUAAGACUUCAUUAUCAUGGUUGCCUGACCCAACACAACAUAUUUGGAGGAGGAGAGGGGACACUUUUAUUGUACCCCAUCACGUGGCUGAGUCAUUUGGCUCUCCAUUCACUGGAACAGACGACUAUGGACACCACCAUUGGGUUUCCCACCAAGGACAGAGUUCCAAAGCAACAGUGGCUUCCAUGGUUGGCUCACCCAGCCUGCCUGAGUCAUCAGCUAGGUCCACAGAGUAGAGAAGUGGGUAGUGCCCCCGCCUAACAUCUGGAAAAAUUCCCAAAAGUUGUGACUUCAUGACCACUGAGUCAGCAGCAACUCUUUUCUUGCCAAGAAUAGCACAUUGUUCUUUUCCUUUUCAGGUAAUCCCUCCCCGGAAAGAGAAGAUCACAGAUUUUGUCAUAUUAAAUACAUUGUAGAAAUUCAUGGUAGCAGGGGCAAGAUCAUUUAAACAAAACAGAAAGUUUCAGAGAGAGAAAAAGCCAAGGACAAAGAUUAAUCAUUUUUCUGCUUAAAAAAAAUGGCUUUGAUUUGCAACCAUGGAAUGCUCCACUGUUUCUCUUCUCUUCAAAGACAUCUACUGAAAGGAUUCCUUAACCUUACCAAGUGGCCAAAAUACUUUUCUGAGAAGAGUCACAGAGCAUAGGCCCCCCUAGGGUACACAGAGAUUUCAUUAGUCCCUAGAUGUUUCCUGAUCCUUUUAAAAACUGGUUAAAUUCAGAGACUCUAGGCAAUUACUUCUUUCAGAACCUGUGAGGCAAAAACGAAAGAAGAAGGCAGGACACGCAGUGUAACAAACCUUGGAAUGGACUUCGCCAGACUUCAUCAGAAGAAAGCAGUGCAAGAGGGGACUGCAGAGGAAAGCUGGGGCUUGGGAAACCAGCAGCAGGGGCCACGUGGGCAGGUGGUUUCUGUGUGAACCUCUGAUCUGUGCAACAUAAACAGGAAAUGUUGAAGGCUUCCAGUGCUCUUUUUUGAUGUCGAGAACAUUCUACGGCACAAAAGAGUUUGCCUCUCACUGUUUCUCAUAUAUGGAGGUUUUCUAAUCAGCAUCCUGAACAGAAUUGAAUUAAAAAUAAAAACCAAAGUAAAACUAGCUUUAUCUCUAGAUUUUAAAAUUUUCAUUUUUUUUAGGGUGGC
rnacentral:lncRNA from 1 species